rnacentral:rRNA from 1 species
CGUGAAGUCGGAAUCGCUAGUAAUCGCGGAUCAGCAUGCCGCGGUGAAUACGUUCCCGGGCCUUGUACACACCGCCCGUCACACCAUGAGAGUCGGGAACACCCGAAGCCCGUAGCCUAACUUUAACGAGAGGGCGCGGUCGAAGGUGGGUUCGAUAAUUGGGGUGAAGUCGUAACAAGGUAGC